UCUUCCUCAGAGGUACUUUUCCUCAUGGAAAUCAGUACAGGUCUGUGAAAAGGUACUCAUCACAGGAGAU
rnacentral:snoRNA from 1 species